rnacentral:rRNA from 1 species
GACGAACGCUGGCGGCGUGCUUAACACAUGCAAGUCGAGCGGAAAGGCCCUUCGGGGUACUCGAGCGGGGAACGGGUGAGUAAGACGAGAGUAACCUGACCCAGACUUUGGGAUAACCAUAGGAAACGGGGGCUAAUACCGGUUACGACACAGCUCCGCAUGGGGUCUGUGUGGAAAGUUUUUCGGUUUGGGAUGGGCUCGCGGCCUAUCAGCUUGUUGGUGGGGUGGUGGCUUACCAAGGCGAAGACGGGUAGCCGGCCUGAGAGGGCGACCGGCCACACUGGGACUGAGACACGGCCCAGACUCCUACGGGAGGCAGCAGUGGGGAAUAUUGCACAAUGGGCGGAAGCCUGAUGCAGCGACGCCGCGUGAGGGAUGACGGCCUUCGGGUUGUAAACCUCUUUCAGCAGGGACGAAGCGUAAGUGACGGUACCGGCAGAAGAAGCGCCGGCUAACUACGUG